rnacentral:rRNA from 1 species
GAAGACAGCUGGCGGCGUGCUUAACACAUGCAAGUCGAACGGAAAGGCCCUGCUUUUGUGGGGUGCUCGAGUGGCGAACGGGUGAGUAACACGUGAGUAACCUGCCCUUGACUUUGGGAUAACUUCAGGAAACUGGGGCUAAUACCGGAUAGGAGCUCCUGCUGCAUGGUGGGGGUUGGAAAGUUUCGGCGGUUGGGGAUGGACUCGCGGCUUAUCAGCUUGUUGGUGGGGUAGUGGCUUACCAAGGCUUUGACGGGUAGCCGGCCUGAGAGGGUGACCGGCCACAUUGGGACUGAGAUACGGCCCAGACUCCUACGGGAGGCAGCAGUGGGGAAUAUUGCACAAUGGGCGGAAGCCUGAUGCAGCAACGCCGCGUGCGGGAUGACGGCCUUCGGGUUGUAAACCGCUUUCGCCUGUGACGAAGCGUGAGUGACGGUAAUGGGUAAAGAAGCACCGGCUAACUACGUG